rnacentral:rRNA from 1 species
AUUGAACGCUGGCGGCAGGCCUAACACAUGCAGGUCGAGCGGAUGAAGGGAGCUUGCUCCUGGAUUCAGCGGCGGACGGGUGAGUAAUGCCUAGGAAUCUGCCUGGUAGUGGGGGAUAACGUCCGGAAACGGGCGCUAAUACCGCAUACGUCCUGAGGGAGAAAGUGGGGGAUCUUCGGACCUCACGCUAUCAGAUGAGCCUAGGUCGGAUUAGCUAGUUGGUGGGGUAAAGGCCUACCAAGGCGACGAUCCGUAACUGGUCUGAGAGGAUGAUCAGUCACACUGGAACUGAGACACGGUCCAGACUCCUACGGGAGGCAGCAGUGGGGAAUAUUGGACAAUGGGCGAAAGCCUGAUCCAGCCAUGCCGCGUGUGUGAAGAAGGUCUUCGGAUUGUAAAGCACGUUAAGUUGGGAGGAAGGGCAGUAAGUUAAUACCUUGCUGUUUUGACGUUACCAACAGAAUAAGCACCGGCUAACUUCGUG